CCCUUAUUUACAUGUCUACAUCUCAUUUUACACGGGAAUUAAGAAACUUAAAAGUCAUGAUAAAGAAUUACAAAUAUGCAUUUGGGGUUAGAAAGAGAUAAAGAGAAAGAAAAGCUAGUUGAUAAUUAUUGAAGAGAUGGAGAGAUAAAAUGUUGGAAAAUGAUGUCAAAAGUACAAAAAAAAUAAAAAUAAAUUAAUGACAACUCAUUAAAAAAAAAAGAGAAUAUUGUCAAAAAUUACAUUCUUAAAAUAGAAAUAGGCAUGUGAUUUUGAAACCCCAAAAGGAAAAUAGGCAUGUAAAUAAGGGACGGAGGGAGUAGUAUUAUAGGGGUUACUUGACAAUGUUACAAGGGUUACUUCUUCAAUGUUAUAUGGUUAUUCAGUUAGUGUUACGAUGAUUACUUCAUUAGCAUUAUAGGGGUUACCCAAUCAGUAUUAUAGGAGUUACUCAGAUAGUAUAAUAGGGGUUAUCUUGUUCUUUUAUAAUCAGCCACAUGGUGUGACUAGCCGCAUAAAACGUGUUGUAACAAGAAUUAUACAAAAUAUCCCUACCCUAUAAAGAGUAGAAGAUUGUUCUUAUGAACCGUGCUCAGACUUUUAUACUCUUUAAAUUGUUUAUUUACCUUAUUACCCCAUAGUAAUUUACACCUUCUCCUGCCAACACGUAUGCAUUUCCUCAGCCUCGUCACUAAGUUCACCAUCCUUAAGCUCUCUCUCCUCUCCAUGUGUGUUCAUCUCUGUUCACCAUUAUUGCUUCGUUAAACAAGUACAAGUUCCCCUUGAGCACUUUUAAAUUUUCUCUCUCUUCUCACCACGUCCAUUGAAGUACUAGAUUUUACAAUCCCUAAAUUCCCAAAUGAAGAACAGUACAAAUCAAAUUGGGGCCAAGAAAAGUUGAUACCUAUCAAUUAUAAGCUCCAUUGAAGUACUAAAUUUUACAAUCCCCAAAUUCCUAAAUAAAGAACAGUGCAAAUCAAAUUGGGGCCAAGAAAAGUUGAUACAAGAAAUGACAACAAAGAAGAAUUUCGUGGUCCAUGGGCUGGUGACGACCACACUGAGGAGGGGGCUAGGAAAGCAUAGGCGCCUGUCGAGGGGGAGGCGGUGGAAGAUGGCGGCUGGAGUUUAUGGGAGGUGGGUCACCGGCGCCUCCGGCAACUCUUUCUCUCUCCUCUCUGUACAGUGCAAAAAAAAGUUUAACCAUGAAGCCAGAACAAACUUCACUCGGCAAACUAACUCCAAGCACUAAAGCUUACAAAGUUCGAGCCAAAGUGAUAGAAAAAUCACAAGCACAACAAUCUCCAAACAAGAAGUAGCGCUACCAACGCCUUGUAUUUGAGGAUAUUGCGGUAUGUUCAGUUUCUUACUAGGCACUUUAAAUACUGAUUUCAAACUUAUAUUUGGCUGUAAUUCUGGUAUUGUCCAUAAUAUCAAAGAAUGAGUAAAUUAAAUAUCUUGUACACAGUUUUAUGCAAUAAAAAUGUAGUAUGCAACCAUUAAUUCAAAGGACUUGUUCGGACAUGUAAGAUGGAGACCCGAAGGUGCACCGGUGCGAAGAGUGGAAGAGUGGGACCAUGGAGGGGUUAAACGAGGGAGAGGGAGACUGAAAAUGACUUGGUUGGAAGGAGUUAAGGAAGGAUAUGAAGUGUAUGGAUUUGCAUAAGGAUGAAGCACUGGAUCGUAAGGGAUGAAGGAGAUAACUACACGGAAUAAUCAAAUUUGGUUCAUGUUAGCUGACCCCACUUAUGGAAUUAAGGCUUUGAUCGAUUGAUAUAUGAUUUCUUCCUCAAAUCUAUACCAUACCUUAAUACAAUGCAUAAUUCCCAACAUUUAAACAUGUAGUGUUCUCCCUUGCAAGCUCAAUGUCAACUACUAUCAUCUCAGAUCAUACUGGGGAGGAAGCACAUGCUCUUCGAACAUGGAUGAAAGAAAAACAAGCAAUGCUUCUUGACUAGGCUACAAAGAUACUGGACAUUGAUCAGAACACCAUCAAGAACAUUAGCAGUCAAAACUAUCAGCGAAAUUGAGCAGAAAAAUGCUGGAAACACAAUGCAAGAAGAACGUCAUUGGAUACAAGCCACUAUCCCUAAUGUUGAGUUGGCUAACCUGAUUGCUUACCUAGGAUGUAACAAGUGUGGAAAGCGUUGUCAAGAAGCUAGGGACACAUCUUUCAGAUGCCUACAUUGCUCAAAAAACAAAGGGUUAAUUUCACAAUCGAUGUAACUGACGCCACUGGGACUCUAAGACUCACUGCUUUUGUUAAAGACUACAAAAAGCCCAUUGGUCUCCCUACUCCAGAGAUAUAUGAGAAGAAAACGGCAGUAAGAACAGGAAAAAAAAAAACAAAAAAAAAGGGCAACAAUUUCUAUAAUAUAUACUAAAGAACCAACAACUUAAUAAAUGUCAUGUAGCGUCUAUAUAUCGCCUUCUUUUACACAAUAGAUGACCAUCUGCCCAAAGAGAAACAACAGAUGAAAUAAUCAAAUCAUGAAAUUAAUACUCAACUAACACAUUAUCUGCAUUAUUGGACAGGGUGAUUGGCCGAAAUUUGAAGAAAUAGCUACCAACUUGGGGACCAAGGCCAUACAUAUCCAAAUUGCACUAACAACUUCUCUCACCAGAAUCCGGGUCCUCAAACGGGCUCUCAAUGACAUUUCCUUCGACUAAACACGCAAAGGCUAACCAAAAACAAAAACCAACUGUGUGUCCUUAAAAGCACCUUUUCCUUAGCUAUAUAUUUAAACUUAUUUAGUACUGGCUAAAAAAAAUCAAAGCAUGUGUCCUAAAACGACACUUUUUACAAAUCAUUAUAUACAGCAACACCUUUUGUAA